rnacentral:lncRNA from 1 species
UUAUCCCAGUCAUCUUGAAGACUUGAAGCUUCAACAGAGGUAAAAUGGACAUUACCACCUUUUAAAAUCUAUAUUAAACGCAAAUUAUAAUUAAGUAUACUAAUCGAAAUUCACUCACAAAUAUACUUUACCAGAUUUGUAACCUCAAGUCAAAAACUCGAUUCCUCACAAAAUCAACCUCUACAGCUCUCCUAAUCACUUCCAAA